GCCAGCCUGGUAUAGUGGUUUGAACAUAGGACUACAACUCUGGAGACCAGGGUUCAAAUCUCUGCUCAGCCA
rnacentral:tRNA from 1 species